AUGAAAGAUGAUAUCCUCAAAGACAAGGAUGAAUGCCGUUACCCAGGAAAAGAGGGAGGAUGCAGGGUCGACAGGAACACAGAAUGGACCUUCUUUUCCAACCCAAAGUGUCAGACUUGCUGCUAUUCAAGUACAUUGUUGGAGUUCUCCUCUGACAGCCGACUUGGCCAGGAGCCGAAGGCAGGACCAUUGUCCAUUGCAGUGUCCCUAGCACCUAGCUAGAUCUGUGCUUGGUCCUUCAGAUGGAUGAAUGAAUGAAGGCAUGAAUUAAUGAAUGAAUGAAUUCACUCAGCUCUCACUGAUAUUGAAUCUUAAUGGCACAUGACUGAAGGUCUUGAGUUUUUCUCUUCCAAAAUGCCUUAGGCAAAUCGGUCCGUCUCAUCCCCCACAAUGAGCUCUGCACACUGUAAGAGGCCUGCUCAUUUCAGCUGUGAAAGUUUUGCACUACAUCCUCUUUAGUGUUAUUAAAAACAGGGAAAUUUUUAUUUACCUGGAAAUUCCACAGUAGACUAAUAUCCCAUAUUUAAUGAGGCUAGCUAGCUGCUGCACUAAAAUAUUGUUUCAAGAAAGAGAAUGUCAAGAGAUUUCUUAGAGCUUUCAAAACACCACAACCCCAAGCAGCUACACAUACACUCAAAAGUUAUGACCAUUUGUGGCUAAAUUACAUGAAAGUAAAAUGAAUAAGCAAUAGGAAAUAUGCAAACAGGACCCUUGUUUUAAUACCAUAUUGUAGGAAAUUCCAUUUGUGACCAGGCUUUGAGAGGUGCCUAAAAUGGGGGAGAUUGUUGACAAAAGAGUGUAUCAAGGUAGCUUUAUAAGUUCAAAUUAAAAAAAAAAAAAAGAUUUCUGAUCAUUAGUCUUACUCAAACUGUCACUUCUCUCUAUAAAAUAUUCAACCAGAAACCUGAGGAUCGCUUACAAUGGAUGCUGGAAAAGGGGUUUCUACACUGGAUUAGAAUCCAUGACCAAUAAUAUGCCUCCCAAUGUAAAGAAUCUACCUACAACUGGUAUUGUGGUUUUAGUGUAGUUAGUAUUCGUUUUCUUGUGUAAAUUGCUAUUACACACUUCAAAUCAAUUUCUGCUUAAAAUUAAAAACAAAUAAAAGAUGUUAACAAAGGCA
rnacentral:lncRNA from 1 species